GAUGAACGCUGGCGGCGUGCCUAAUACAUGCAAGUCGAGCGAACGGACGAGAAGCUUGCUUCUCUGAUGUUAGCGGCGGACGGGUGAGUAACACGUGGAUAACCCACCUAUAAGACUGGGAUAACUUCGGGAAACCGUAGCUAAUACCGGAUAAUAUUUUGAACCGCAUGGUUCAAAAGUGAAAGACGGUCUUGCUGUCACUUAUAGAUGGAUCCGCGCUGCAUUAGCUAGUUGGUAAGGUAACGGCUUACCAAGGCAACGAUGCAUAGCCGACCUGAGAGGGUGAUCGGCCACACUGGAACUGAGACACGGUCCAGACUCCUACGGGAGGCAGCAGUAGGGAAUCUUCCGCAAUGGGCGAAAGCCUGACGGAGCAACGCCGCGUGAGUGAUGAAGGUCUUCGGAUCGUAAAACUCUGUUAUUAGGGAAGAACAUAUGUGUAAGUAACUGUGCACAUCUUGACGGUACCUAAUCAGAAAGCCACGGCUAACUACGUGCCAGCAGCCGCGGUAAUACGUAGGUGGCAAGCGUUAUCCGGAAUUAUUGGGCGUAAAGCGCGCGUAGGCGGUUUUUUAAGUCUGAUGUGAAAGCCCACGGCUCAACCGUGGAGGGUCAUUGGAAACUGGAAAACUUGAGUGCAGAAGAGGAAAGUGGAAUUCCAUGUGUAGCGGUGAAAUGCGCAGAGAUAUGGAGGAACACCAGUGGCGAAGGCGACUUUCUGGUCUGUAACUGACGCUGAUGUGCGAAAGCGUGGGGAUCAAACAGGAUUAGAUACCCUGGUAGUCCACGCCGUAAACGAUGAGUGCUAAGUGUUAGGGGGUUUCCGCCCCUUAGUGCUGCAGCUAACGCAUUAAGCACUCCGCCUGGGGAGUACGACCGCAAGGUUGAAACUCAAAGGAAUUGACGGGGACCCGCACAAGCGGUGGAGCAUGUGGUUUAAUUCGAAGCAACGCGAAGAACCUUACCAAAUCUUGACAUCCUUUGACAACUCUAGAGAUAGAGCCUUCCCCUUCGGGGGACAAAGUGACAGGUGGUGCAUGGUUGUCGUCAGCUCGUGUCGUGAGAUGUUGGGUUAAGUCCCGCAACGAGCGCAACCCUUAAGCUUAGUUGCCAUCAUUAAGUUGGGCACUCUAAGUUGACUGCCGGUGACAAACCGGAGGAAGGUGGGGAUGACGUCAAAUCAUCAUGCCCCUUAUGAUUUGGGCUACACACGUGCUACAAUGGACAAUACAAAGGGCAGCGAAACCGCGAGGUCAAGCAAAUCCCAUAAAGUUGUUCUCAGUUCGGAUUGUAGUCUGCAACUCGACUACAUGAAGCUGGAAUCGCUAGUAAUCGUAGAUCAGCAUGCUACGGUGAAUACGUUCCCGGGUCU
rnacentral:rRNA from 1 species